AGAUUAUGGAGAAGAAAAAGAGAUGUUGGAUGAAAAAGACUAUGGAAAAAGAAAAGAGAUAUGGCAUGAGAAAGAAUUACAUCAAAAAGAAAAUAUAUCAUUAUCACAAGAAGUCAUAGGUAAGCAGUUUGAGCCUACAAUCACAAGAGCCAGGGAUCAUAGAAGAAGGGUUAUUGACAAAUUUAAAAAGGCAUUGCCAACAAAGAAGAAGGAGAGUCUGUAAGGUUGAGCCAAUGAAAGAAAAAUUCUUCUAAAACUACAAGCAACAAACAAUCAAGUUACAAGAAGUUAGUGUCUUCGAAGUGAGAUGUAGG
rnacentral:lncRNA from 1 species